UUGAACGCUGGCGGCAGGCCUAACACAUGCAAGUCGAGCGGAUGAAGGGAGCUUGCUCCUGGAUUCAGCGGCGGACGGGUGAGUAAUGCCUAGGAAUCUGCCUGGUAGUGGGGGAUAACGUCCGGAAACGGGCGCUAAUACCGCAUACGUCCUGAGGGAGAAAGUGGGGGAUCUUCGGACCUCACGCUAUCAGAUGAGCCUAGGUCGGAUUAGCUAGUUGGUGGGGUAAAGGCCUACCAAGGCGACGAUCCGUAA
rnacentral:rRNA from 1 species